rnacentral:SRP_RNA from 1 species
GCUAGGUGUGGUGGCGCAGGCCUGUCAUCCUGGCUACUUGGGAGGCUGAGGUGGGAAAAUCACUUGAGCCCAGGAGGAAUAGGUUGCAGUGAGCUGUGUUCAUGCCACUGCACUCCAGCCUGGGCAACAGAGUGAGACCCCUCCUCAA